rnacentral:rRNA from 1 species
UACGUAGGGGGCAAGCGUUGUCCGGAUUUAUUGGGCGUAAAGAGCGUGUAGGCGGCCAAACAGGUCAGCUGUGAAAACUCGAGGCUCAACCUCGAGACGUCGGUUGAAACCGUUUGGCUAGAGUCCGGAAGAGGAGAGUGGAAUUCCCGGUGUAGCGGUGAAAUGCGCAGAUAUCGGGAGGAACACCUGUGGCGAAAGCGGCUCACUGGACCAUUACUGACGCUGAUGCGCGAAAGCUAGGGGAGCAAACAGG